rnacentral:lncRNA from 1 species
GCUGCGGGGACCCGGGACCUACAAGUGUGGACUGGUGCGGCCGGUUGGGAUUCGGCUGCGCUCUUGCAAAGGGAAUCAAUGAAAACCAAAGCUAGGUCCCGGCUCAGGCUGGAGGUCGCGGCAACGCGGUAGUUGCGAGCUCGCGGGGCCGUCCCGCGCCUCGCCGACCUUGAACUCCGACAAGUCUUUCUCCAGCCCCCCACCCCCACCCCCCGCGACUCCCACCCUGCCGACGCUCCUCAGUGACAGGGCAAGUGCUUUAAAGUUCUGCUUUUCACCUCUGGCCGAGUCAGAACGACAGCAGAGCUGCCGCAGAAAAGAGUUUGCGUACUGCUCUGGCUUUGAGAAACCGAACUUUGCAAAUGUGGCUGUUCUGGGCCGCGAGGCUGAGGCCGGUCACUGGUUUGAAAAAGGCCAAACAAAUGCGCACCGCCGCAGACAAAACACUCCACUUCGGUAGAGUCGUGCUGCUUGCCUGCUUCCCCCCCCCCCCCCUUUUUUUUUUUACAAAGCACCUGGAGCGGUGAAGCGCCGGUCGUCCCGACUUUAGUAGGCUCUUCUCUGACUUGUGGACAUUUGGGAGUUCUGGGGAGUGGGUGAGGGAGUCUCUGAUGUAUUUCGAGUGUGAUUUGAGCACAACCUUUGUGUUUACACGAACCGCUUAGAGCCUGGUUGGGUCUCUGUACUGGGGGAGAAGAAAAAUCUUAGUCGCCUGUGGGUUACAUGUCUUCAGAAUCACAAAUAAACGCACAACUGUGGAAAACUCAGUUUUAAAUCCCAUCCUCCCCUCCUUCUGGCUCUCGCCAGUGUUCGCCUCCGAAUUAAAUGACUGUUAUUGUGUAUCGGCCCGCAUUACAGCAAAGACUUGCUUAUUUCUCAUUUGCAAAUUGCGGACUCUAUUGCAAGAUUUCAGAGAAUGUUUCCUUAGAGGAAAAAUUUUAAAUCUCGUUUUCUCUCCUUUUCUUCCGAAGAAGUCGACAUUUGGUCUAGGAAAUGGAACUCUUCAGGAGGUAGUAAGUCACAGACUUGUUAAACAGUAUUUACUUUUUGAACGAAUGUAACUCACAAGUGGAUGUGGGCUAGAACCUUGCAGCUUGUUUAUGAGUUUACGAGACCUCAUACAAUAGCCUUGUAUUCAUGACUCCGUGCAAACUCUCGCAAAGUAUAAGAACAACGUCGUCCUUUCUUGGGAGGAAAAAAGUCCCGCUUAGUAUGGACUGAUUUCUGCGUCCUAAGGAGGGGACAGUUGUUGGCAUAACUGUGUGAUCGGCAGACACCUGACCCAAGAGGGGACUCAUAGACCAGACCUUCGGGCAGAAGUUUUAACCAGACUGUCUGUGUUUAGCUGCUUUUUAUUGUAAUUCCCAUGUUUACUGGCAUAAAUUAGUGAAGAGGACUGUGACUUUAAGGUAUUUUGGACUAUUUCACAAUUAUUUGUCAAGAUAAAUAAGUACCUAUAUAAAUCUAUUUUAAUGCAACUGUGUAAUAGGAGAUACGUAAUACAUAGCAUUUUUAA